UGUCUCCUGUGCCUGACUUACCUCGGACGGUAAUUAGCAAUUACAGUUCUGUCUGUCUCCUAGAAUGAGCCGGAGCCCUUGGGACCAAGAGACCUGGCUUAGAUGUCUUUGUGUCCCCAUGGCACUCCGCACGAUGACUUCAGAAAGGAGAUAGUUUAUAAAAUGUUUGAUAAAUGAAAGAACGAGUCCCCUGAAAGGCAGGGAUGUUCACUCUGAUUUCGCAGAGGAGGUAGCUGAGCCAGGCACUGGAACUACAACCCCCCACCCCCUGCCCCACUGUCUUCCUGGAGCUGUCCAGAGGAAGUAAAAUGUGGGGCUGAGAUGGCCCACCGAUGGAGUGCCCACGGGCACCCUGCCCUCAGGGGGGCUGCCCGGGGGAGGGUUGGCUAGGCAUGAUUCAUCUUUCCUGAGGUCCUGGCAUAUUUUGCCUACCUCCACAGGGCCAAGGGUCAUGUUCCGAGGCCCCCAAUCCCAGCAUAAGUAGGCCCUCCCCAUCCCCAAGCACCAUGAACGGAAGACCACUAGGUGGCACUAAGUGGUCAGUUAGUCCCUUCCUAGAGACAGGGCAGGUCCUUUGUCUCCUCGCUGUGCCUGAGCUGGGCUCCCGGGCACCUCAGGAGCUGGGUUGCCCAGUAGGUGUAGGGAGGAGAGGUUCCUUUGCUGAGAAGCUUGCACUGGGUAUGUGUGGAGGACCUCAUGGUUUGUGUUCAUGAGCCCUCUUGUUCGUUUUUCACAAUAACUCUGAUAGGACAAUGGGACAUUAUCCCCACCUUAGUGGAGAGAGAACGAAUUUCUUGAAAGGUUAGAUGACUUGGCCAAACCCACCCUGCAAGCUGGGUCUGGAACUCAAGUCCCAGCUACAGGGAGGGUCCUGGGGUUUUUGCAAAGUCAGCAGAGGGCCCUGAGCCUCCAAGUGGCUCCGGCACUUCCCAUGUGACCUUGAACAAGCUGCUGAAAUCCUCAGCCCUAGUUUCAUCAUUAGUGAAGUGAGUCUAAGAGCGACCAACGGAGUUAGGACAAGUAAAGAGCUGGGGUGGAGGCAGGCAGGGGUGAGCCCCUCAUGGUUAGCUCCUAUUGUCUCCAUGACACUUACUCUAAGUGGCCACCCUGUACUGACCCCGUUGCCCUCCCUGCCUCUGGUGGCCCAGAGGAUAACAAAGAGAAUUAACAGGAUCCAGAGUAAACGAAAAUUUCUCUUUCAGUCUUCCCUCCUAGAGGACCCAGGCUGUGCCUACCCACUGCGAGGAAGGGGAGAAUGAAGGCCCCCCACCUUCCCCCAAGACACAUAAGGUCCCAGCCCUAGUCGCAGGAUAUGACCUGCCGCCUGGAGAAAGCUGCCAUAUCUGACGACAUCAAGAAGGUGGUGAAACAGGCAUUGGAGGGCCCCCUCAAGGGCAUCCUGGGCUGCACUGAGGACCAGGUUUGUCCUGCAACUUUAAUAGGGAUACCCUCUCUUCCACCUUGGAUGCUGGGGCUUGUGUUGCCCUCAGUGAUCACUUUGUCAAGCUCAUUUCCUGGUAGAACAGUGAAUUUCACUAUAGCAAUAGGGUGGUAGACCUUAGGGCCCACAUGGCCUCCAAGGAGUAAGAGUCUCCUAGACCAACAGCCCCAGCAAGAACACAAGAGAGAGACCCUCAGCUGCUUGAGAGGGUUUACCCCAACUCAACUUCCCAAUACACUGAGAUUCUAUACAGUUUCCAUCCCAGAAUCCCUGAAGAGGGGGAGGGGCUUAGGGAACCUUCCAUAUCAUGUACACCAAUAAAAUACAGUGGACCCAGCCCCCUCCCCUCCAUAAAACCUAUACCAAGGUAUAUCAUAAGUAGUUUUUAAAAUGUGAUAAAGGGAAAGAUUUAGAAGUAGCUAGAGUGGGGCACCUGGGUGGCUCAGUCGAUUAAGUAUCUGACUCUUGACCUCAGCUCAGGUCUUGAUCUCAGGAUCAUGAGUUCAAGCCCUGUGUUGGGCUCCAUGCUGGCCAUGGAGCUUACUUAAAAAUAAAAAAUAAAUAAAUAAAUAAAAGCAGCCAGACAUAUUACAUACAAACAAAAAUAAUGCUAACAGGUUUUUUUGUCAGAAAGCAUGCAAGGAAGAGGACAGUGGAGCCACAUCUUUAAAAUACAGAAAGAGAGGUGCCUGGCUGGAUCAGUCGUGAGUUCAAACCCCAUUUUGGGUGUAGAGAUUACUUAAAUAAAUGAAUAAAUAAAAUUUUAAAAAAUAAAAAUAAAGUACAGAAAGAAAAAAAAAUACAACAUCAACCUAAAA